rnacentral:rRNA from 1 species
UACAGAGGUCUCAAGCGUUGUUCGGAUUCAUUGGGCGUAAAGGGUGCGUAGGUGGCGAGGUAAGUCUGGUGUGAAAUCCCGGGGCUCAACCCCGGAACUGCACUGGAUACUGCCCUGCUGGAGUACUGGAGAGGAGAUUGGAAUUUACGGUGUAGCAGUGAAAUGCGUAGAUAUCGUAAGGAAGACCAGUGGCGAAGGCGAAUCUCUGGACAGUUACUGACACUGAGGCACGAAGGCCAGGGGAGCAAACGGG